GAGCCGCAGGCUGUCGUUUGUCUGUCGGAGCUGUGGAGCUGGAGGAAAUGCUCCUCCCGAGGCGUAUCUCUGCUGUUUGUAAGCCUGGCUGACUCAGAGCGCCUUGAGGAAUUGCCUGUGUAUUCACAGUGUCAAAGCGAAGUCAGCUGGUGGCCGCUGGUUAAAAAGCCCUGGUCAUCGGUUGUCACUCUCACAUUCAGCUUAGAAGUGUUACAGUUUCCAUUUCCAACAGUCCCUGUUUUCCCAGGUUGCACGUUGCAGUCGUUCGUCAGACAGGCUGAGUCUCUACAAACAGCAUUUGCAGCCCAGCUCGGACCUUGGGAUGUCCUCUCAGCCCAGGCCUGGCCUGACCCAGCUGUUCAUCCACCUUGAAAUCAUGAAAUAGCAAAGGAGACUCCUGGGAUGGAGUGGGACCUCAUCUCUAUUGUGCUGUCCUGGGAACUUGGAAGAUUCCCUGAUAUUUGUCCCUGAAGCCAAGGCAAGAGAAGCUCUCUCAGAAGCUUCCCUGUCUUUUCAGUGAGAAGAAGGAGGAAGUGGUAGCUUGAUGGCUGAAAAGAUUUGAGAAACAGGAAGGGAUGAGGUGAUGCACGACUGUCAGGGUUCAGAGACACAGAAACAGAAGAAAAGCAACCAGGUAGAGCUGGGGAAGACAUUACCAACAGAAGCUGAAGGAAUUGAUAGGAGCACAGAGCCAGAACAGAAGGGACAGGAAAUAUGGAAAGACAAGACAAAGGUUUAUAACCUGUGUAGAAAUGAAGUCAGAUCAUCUUCCCAGAACUGAAGUUGUGAUUCCUGAGCUUCUCUGUUGUCCAGCAAAUUAUUUAAAAAUUCUGUUCUCCAGUGGCUCAUCCAUAUAACAAGAUAUUACCUCUGCCAGUUUUUUUGGUUCCAGUGGUAGAGGUAUGUGACUCUUUAAUGUCCAGCACUGCUGAUGGCUCUUGGAAACUGCUUGGGAAUUUCAUUUUGAUUCCAUUAAGUAAUUAACUGUGCUUUUUGUUCUUCCUCAAAAAAAAUUACACACACUUAUAUGAAAAAAAAACUUAAUAAAACCACUUUUGGUUCAGAUAACAGUCUCAACUGUUACAUCUUCGUUCAGUUCUAAAACAUGACCCACCCUAUGAACAAAAUAAAAGUGAAAUAUUAAGGAACAAGAAUUGCGUACUACAAGAUGAAUGAUAUUUCAAAGGCAGCUAUCUAGUAUGAACGGUGUAUUUGGCAAUUUCUUAUUUCUGAGAGCUUACCUUUGUCAUGAUAAUUUACAGUCAUGAUGUACAUUAGGAAUACCUACAUCUGCAUUCAGUUCCUGAAAAUAUAUUUAAUAAAUAACAAAUGUUU